UUAUAUUUACAGUUUUCUAUCACGGUUAACGAAAGAUUUUAAACUCAACAUAAUUUAAUACUAUAUAAAAAUGGCUUCAUUCCACAGAUAUUUCUCUGCACCGUACUUGACCAGUUGGGUCUGUCAGAAAUGGUUAAAGACUUCAUAGUUGCUUUCAUUUGUCGCCGGCAUAAAUGGUUUGGUUACUUACAAACUUUUCUUUGCCGAUUGUCAGCCAUUUUGACCAUACCCUUACCCGCCUCUCCACUCUCCGCACAACAUGGAAUUGUAUAAGCCUAUUAUCCAGCUCAUCUGAAUAGAAAUUUAAUUAGUUAUAACAUGCCAUUCACGCUUGCUUGGGAAGCAGGGACUGACGGAGUAAGGGUUCCAGCCAGGAUCACGUCCAGGUCAAAUCCAUCCUAAUAUGAAUAGGAUCGCGUUGCUCAUGCAUCGAGAUCCUGGUCAACUACAACGAACCCCAGAUCUUGGCCAUGAAAAACGCAGCACAUUUGUAACCUACCAUGGAUGAUGCAGCCUCAGCCGCUGACUUGGGUACCAAGGAAAGCGAAG
rnacentral:lncRNA from 1 species